rnacentral:rRNA from 1 species
GAUGAACGCUAGCGACAGGCUUAACACAUGCAAGUCGAGGGGCAGCAUAAAAGUAGCAAUACUUUGGUGGCGACCGGCGCACGGGUGAGUAACGCGUAUGCAACCUACCUAUCAGAGGGGAAUAACACGGCGAAAGUCGGACUAAUACCGCAUAAAACAGGGGCACCGCAUGGUGAUAGUUGUUAAAGAAAUUCGCUGAUAGAUGGGCAUGCGUUCCAUUAGGUAGUUGGUGAGGUAACGGAUCACCAAGCCGACGAUGGAUAGGGGAACUGAGAGGUUGGUCCCCCACACUGGUACUGAGACACGGACCAGACUCCUACGGGAGGCAGCAGUGAGGAAUAUUGGUCAAUGGGCGAGAGCCUGAACCAGCCAAGUCGCGUGAAGGAAGAAGGAUCUAUGGUUCGUAAACUUCUUUUGCAGGGGAAUAAAGUGCGGGACGUGUCCUGUUUUGUAUGUACCCUGAGAAUAAGGAUCGGCUAACUCCGUGCCAGCCGCCGCUGUAA